rnacentral:rRNA from 1 species
AUACGGAGGGUGCGAGCGUUAAUCGGAAUUACUGGGCGUAAAGCGCGCGUAGGCGGUUUGUUAAGUCGGAUGUGAAAUCCCCGGGCUCAACCUGGGACCUGCAUCCGAUACUGGCAGGCUAGAGUCUGGUAGAGGGGGGUAGAAUUCCUGGUGUAGCGGUGAAAUGCGUAGAUAUCAGGAGGAAUACCAGUGGCGAAGGCGGCCCCCUGGACUGAGACUGACGCUGAGGUGCGAAAGCGUGGGGAGCAAACAGGAUUAGAAACCCCAGUAGUCC